rnacentral:rRNA from 1 species
UACGUAGGGGGCGAGCGUUGUCCGGAAUUAUUGGGCGUAAAGAGCGUGUAGGCGGUUCGGUAAGUCUGCUGUGAAAUCCUGGGGCUCAACCCCGGGCGUGCAGCGGAUACUGCCGGGCUAGAGGGUGGUAGAGGCGAGUGGAAUUCCCGGUGUAGCGGUGAAAUGCGCAGAUAUCGGGAGGAACACCAGUAGCGAAGGCGGCUCGCUGGGCCACUCCUGACGCUGAGACGCGAAAGCAUGGGGAGCGAACAGG